CAAACAGAAAAUUCUAACAACCCUCCUUUCCUCUCUGUGCUGCAUGUAUCCUAAAAUAUUUAAGUGAAAAAAAAUGGACCGAAAGAACCAACCAAUGCUCUUGAACGUCGAGCUUCCUGUUUAGGUAUCAGGAGACAGGUCAAAAGGGGCCAUGAAUUACUCUCUUCCCCUCAAUAUAUAAUUAAAAUGAUAUCUUUAUUUUCUUUUUCUCUCUUCCUUUCUUUAUAUAUGAUUUAUCCAUUCUUAGCUGCUACAGCAAGUUUUUAGCAGCUCAUACAAUGAGAUUUUUUUCGAUUCUAUCUGUCAUCUCUUUGCUUUUCUUCUUGUGUUUGGUGUUUAGUAUUCAAGGGAUGGCUGGUACUACUGACUUAGUGGUGGCCAUUGGAAAGUCUGUCAGUAAGGGAAGAGGUGAGUGCGAGAAGGAGAGAUCAGCAGAAUUCAUAAAAGGAAAUAAUGACAUUGGAUCAGAAGAUAAUCUCUAUGAGAGUGAAGAUUACAUUUAUACACAAGCUCCCACCCCUAAUUAGCUAUAUUAUUUGUCACUAAAUCUACUUAAAUAAUCAUGUAUUGUAAUGAGAAAUUGUUACUUUAAUGCAAAAUGGAGGGUUUUUUUUCUUCUUUCUUUUUA